rnacentral:rRNA from 1 species
CCUACGGGUGGCAGCAGUGAGGAAUAUUGGUCAAUGGUCGUAAGACUGAACCAGCCAAGUAGCGUGCAGGAUGACGGCCCUAUGGGUUGUAAACUGCUUUUAUGCGGGGAUAAAAUGCGUCACGUGUGCCGCUUUGUAGGUACCCCAUGAAUAAGGAUCGGCUAAUUCCGUGCCAGCAGCCGCGGUAAUACGGAGGGUCCGGGCGUUAUCCGGAUUUAUUGGGUUUAAAGGGUGCGCAGGCGGCAUGUUAAGUGUGCGGUGAAAUGUCGGGGCUCAACCCCGGCACGGCGGCGGAAACUGGCUUGCUUGAGUGGGCGAGAAGUAUGCGGAAUGCGUGGUGUAGCGGUGAAAUGCUUAGAUAUCACGCAGAACUCCGAUUGCGAAGGCAGCAUACCGGCGCGCAACUGACGCUGAGGCUCGAAAGCGCGGGUAUCGAACAGGAUUAGAUACCCGAGUAGUC